rnacentral:rRNA from 1 species
CGCGUAUGGAACUUACCCCAAACUGGAGAAUAGCCGUUUAGAAAUGAAGAAUAAUACUCCAUAGUAUUCCGAGAAGGCAUCUUCUUGGUCUUAAAGCUUCGGCGGUUUGGGAUAGCCAUGCGUUCUAUUAGUUAGUUGGUGAGGUAACGGCUCACCAAGACCGCGAUAGAUAGGGGGCCUGAGAGGGUUGUCCCCCACACUGGUACUGAGACACGGACCAGACUCCUACGGGAGGCAGCAGUGGGGAAUAUUGCACAAUGGGCGAAAGCCUGAUGCAGCCAUGCCGCGUGUGUGAAGAAG